rnacentral:snoRNA from 1 species
CGGCUAGCAGGUAAAUCCUGCUCCCAGGUGUAGUGGGUCGCUGCCAUGUAGAAAUUUGACUCCUGACGC